AUAGCAAACAUCCUUUUUCAACAACACAAGAGACGACUCUACACAUGGACAUCACCAGAUGGUCGAUACCAAAAUAAGCAUAUCUUUGAUCAGGAAUUGAGGAACUGAGGCCUGGAGAGUUUAAUGAACUUGCCGUGGACCACAAAGCUUACUAGUGGAGGAGCUGAGGUUUGAACUCGGGUCUGAUGGAGUCUAGAGACCGAGCUCCUAAUUCUUGGUGGUGCAUCUCUUCCUUUUUCUCUCGGAAACACUCCCUGUGGGGCUGGCACAGUGUUGGGCUCUGGACCUGGGUUGCCAUUGGCUUUGCUCGGUGCCCUCCUGUAAAUUAUUCAUUCCUCCAGCACCAUUUUGUGAGCGUGGUCUGCAGUUGCGUGUUCGUCUUUUUUCUCAGUUCCAGGGAAGCAAGAUUCCUCUGGGUGCGAUUCACUGCGGCUACACCUGGGAGAGACGUGACAGUCAAUCGGGGCCGGAGCAUCUCUGCUCUGGCAGGAUGAGCGGCAGAGCCCUGGCGAAGAGAUUCUUUGCCCAUUCAGGCACUGGUUAUGGGUUGUUCUGACAUGUCUGGAAAUCACUCCUGUGGCUGUUAGGUCCUCUCUAGCUGUUCUGAUGAACGACUGGCUUCCAGUCAGUGCCCCUGAGUCCACUCACCUGGCCUUGUGGCACAAACACACCGGCAGAGAUUGGAUUGCGAUGAUGAAUGUGGCCUGUGUCUUUGGCACAGGAAGUAUGUGGAAGUGGAGAAGCAACAGGAACCUUUCAAGAAAGACUAUUAGUAAUCAAAGCUACUUUUUAUCUUUCUAUUCCUUUUAUAAUGAUAUUGCAAAACUGCUGUCAUAUAAAAAGGCAAUCCAAGAGUACGCAGCCAAAAACUAUGGGCAAAAAUGAGACAGGUGUGUCAGGCAGUGAUUUAAUACAAACGAUUAUAUUAUUUUUCUGGA